GGCCACCUGGCCGGCGAUGCCUGCCGGCGAGCCACGCCAAAGGGGCCUCCCCGACCGGCCGCCGACCAGCGGCGCUGCCCCCUGCCGCACGCCACCGCGGCCCGUCCCCGGCCUUCACGCGGCAGGGAAUCCCUGCGCGCAGGAGCCGCGACGCCCUAGCGAGGACGCGCCCUCGCCGCGCCGCUGCCGCGCCCCCUGCCCGGCCGUGCCCAGCGCCCCUGCCCGCUGCCCGGCCUCCCUGCUCGCCUCUCCUCCCAGCAACGCGCGCCUGAGCCACCACCGAGCUCCGCCGGCCACCAUUGCUGCCGCCGAGCUCCCCUCGCCGUCGCGCCCGCCCUUCCGCCCCCACCUGGCCCGAACCAACCCCACCAGCCGCUCGCCCAUGGUCCCCUGAGACGCCCUGGCCGGGUCCCCGUCGCCUCACCUCGCCGGAACAGCACCAGCGCCGUCACCAACUGCCGCCCCCCUGCUCCACCGCCGCGCCCCCUACUCCGGCCAUCUCCGAGCCCCAAACAAGGCACCAAGAGACCCAACUUCUCUCGUUGACGGAACGUACGAGUUGUCUCGUUGACGGAACGUACGAGUUGCUGCCCGAGUCCGAGAGUGAGCAGUGUGAAGCCAAUCUUAAGUUAACUGAAGUUGAAGAUUCGAACCAAAGUUCGAAAGAGUCCAAGGCUAGCUUUGCUUACGAAGGCAAACCCUGGAGCAUGAACCCUAUUUUCCCUGUAUGCAAUAUUCUUAAUUUAUGUACUUGUGCAUUUAUGUUUAUAGGAGUUCUUUGAAACCUUAA